UGUGUGUGUGUGUGUGUGUGUGUGUGCACUCGAGUGUGUGAGAGGGUGCAUGCAUGAGUGUGUAUGUGUGAGUGUAUGUGUGCAUGCAUGUGUGUGCGUGUGUGUGAGGGUGCAUGCAUGCAUGUGUGCACGUGUGUGUAUGCGUGUGUAUGAGGGUUAUGCAUGAGUGUGAGUGUAUGUGUACAUGCAUGUGUGCAUGUGUGUGAGGGUGCAUGCAUGCAUGCGUGUGCGUGAGGGUGCAUGCAUGUGUAUGUGUGUGUGUGUGCAUGCAUGCGUGUGUUGUUUGAGAAUUUUGUUCAACACAUUUUGAUUCUGUUCAUCUUUCCUUCCCCAACUCUUCCCAAAUCCAUCCCCCUUCCAUCCCACACAACUUGGAGCUUUUUAAAGCCACCGAGACCAAUUUGUUUUGCCCCAAUAUUCUUCAACGCAUGGCCUUCCCCUGCCCCGAUGCAGCCAACUUAGCCAGGGCUACCCUCUUCCUCUCCCAGCAGCUAACGACCGCCAGGAGCUGCCUGGCUGGGGUGGAAUCUCAUGCGCGACUCAGAUGAAGCUGAGAGCUAAGCAGGUUCCCCUUCCUCCUCCACCAUGGGAUGGAUUAAGAUCAGGCCAUGUUGGGGUUGGGGAUUUAGCUCAGUGGUAGAGCGCUUGCCUAGAAAGCGCAAGGUCCUGGGUUCGAUCCCCAGCUCCGAAAAAAAGAAAAAG
rnacentral:lncRNA from 1 species